UACUCUCACAAACAAGUGACGUAACAAUCAAUACCUGCUCCCAAGAGAAGAUAACUCUGCAAUACGUAAAUACAGAAUAAUGUUUAACAGGUUAUUGUCACCGGCUUAAUUUUUUCGUGAAUUUGACCAAAAUUAAAUUUACACCUGUCAGGCUAUAAUUUCGCGAUAAAGACAGGUGAAGAAACGAAUUUUUCACAUUGUUUAAGCACAGAAACGGGACAUCUGGCACAUAAAGGGUUAAAUAGUCAAUUUAUUAUAGGAUAUUGAGCAAUAACAUGUACGCAUAUUUUGUAAACAAAUCCACACCAAAAUAUUAGAUGUGUGAAAUAAUCUAGUUAUUUGUUACAACCAUAUACUUGCUAUUCCAUGACAACAUUAUGGUCAUGAAGUUUAUUAUCGCAGCUUGUUUUUCUGCUUGUAAUAUUAUUCUGUGGAUCACCCACAGAAAUAACCUGCUAUACAGUUUAAUGGACCAGGUGUCCCCCAUAUAAUUAUUUAAUCUACAUAAUUAAUAUAUUAUUGGCUUGUGUUUUCUUCCAUGGCUAUGUCCAUAUUAACUGUUGAUUGUGUUCAAUUUUCUGUCUCUUUUGUGUGAAAACUGUAAUACAUUGUAUACAUAUAUACAAUAUAAAUAUAUGCUAGUAAACUUUGUAACAGAAGUGUGUUCAAGUCAUAAACAUGUUUACCUCACAUUUACAUUUAAAUAUACAAGCAUUCAAGCUCACAUAAUGAAAACAAAAAUAUAAGUGAUCUGAUUUCAGGAUUAACAUUUUACGAAAAAAUAAUUGUUUUGAAACAAGAAACCAUGUUGAAAAAUCAACCUUUAAACUUAUUUCAAGUCUGCACGCUCAGGACUGUCCAGUUUGACUCUAUGUCAAUAAACAAUUAAAGUAAAAUUUUGUCUUCAAAAAAUGUUCUUUUUGAAAUAUCUGUGUUUUACCAAUGUUCCACAAUGAAAAUUCCAUAUUUACCAAUAGAAAUAUAUAUGCUCACAACGACGAGUGCUUACAUGGUACUUUUGCCUAUUCUUUAAGUUGCUAAAUUCACCAAACUAUAUUUUUAUACUCUAAAGUUAUAAAUUAUUAAAAAAACUAUUUUUCUCGUUGAUGUUCAUAUUGUGUGUUAUAUUUCAAUAAGGUUUUAAUUAUUUGCUAUAUGGAAGCAUAUUCUUGUUUUGAUUUUGUGGGGGAAAGAGGUUGUAGUUUUUGGAAAUAAUAUCUGCGUCUGAUUAGAAUGAUCACUUUACAGUUAAUUAACAUGACAUAGUUUUAUACUAUAUGUAUACUCGGUACUAAACCGUUACAGUUUUAUACCCUAGUUAUACUCGGUACUAAACCGUUACAGUUUUAUACUAUAUGUAUACUGGGUACUAAACCGUUACAGUUUUAUACUAUAUGUAUACUCGGUACUAAACCGUUACAGUUUUAUACUAUAUGUAUACUCGGUACUAAACCGUUACAGUUUUAUACUAUAUGUAUACUUGGUACUAAACCAUUACAGUUUUAUAGAAUUCAUUGCUUGUUGACUAAAGCUUUAUAUGUGUAAGACGUUAUAUUUGUUAAAAUUCUUAAGUUUAAUGAAGUCAAACCUGGAUGCAUAUUUUUUUUGCAUUGAUAAGAUUAUUAAUCACUUAUUCUCAUUUUGUAAGUGUAUAUUAAAUUUUAAUAUGAACGAGUCGGACUCUAGAAGGCAUACUUUAUGUUUUAACUUUUUUUUUAAAUUUUUUUUUAUUGUGAUCGAUUAACGCCUGACAGUUUACUCAUAGUUUUAUUGUUUGAACCUUUUCUCCUUUUUUACUGAUAAUACUAGUCUAUUCUCUCCGAAUGAAUGGUAGUCAUUUUGAUCCUCCGGUGAAUAUCAAAGACAUAUUUUAGAGGAUAGUUUAAAACCUGUUUAGAUCUUUGCCCUUAAUGAAAGGGAAAGCAGACUCUAGUUUCGUAGAUUAAGAAUAAUGGUUUUACAAGAAAUAUUAUUGAGAACGUUCUUUAGAAUAUAUAUGUUACUUUACUAUGCCAUGUUACAUUUAACUUCAAAAUUAGAAAAUCAUAGUAAUUGUCGGAGCAUUAUUUAGACAUUGUUGAUUAAUUCAAAAAUUAAAUGAGACUUACCUGUUAGUUGAAAUUUGAUUGGAAUUCUGUCUUCACAUCUGUUGGAUUUAAAUUGAUGCAAUGAGAACAUUUCAUUUGUGAAAUAUUUAAACAAUUUAUGGUGUGUAAGAUAUAACAUACGGUUAAUAGCUCCAGUAAAUCACAGCCACCCCAACAUACGGUAAAUAGCUUCAGUAAAUCAUAGCGACCCCAACAUAGGGUAAAUAGCUUCAGUAAAUCAUAGCCACCCCAACAUACGGUAAAUAGCUUCAGUAAAUCAUAGCCACCCCAACAUACGGUUAAUAGCUCCAGUAAAUCAUAGCCACCCCAACAUACAUAUGUACGGUUAAUAGCUCCAGUAAAUCAUAGCCACCCCAACAUUCAGAAAAUAGCUUCAGUAAAUCAUAGCCACCCCAACAUACGGUAAAUAGCUUUAGUAAAUCAUAGCGACCCUAAAUCAACGGAUUACUGAAGGAAAUUUACUAUGCCGGCCAUAACAUGAAUACAUAUAUGACAUCAACGACAUCAACUAGAGUAUAUCAGCAGCCCAAAUCUUACAUCUGUAGCUAUAUGUUUACACCUGUAAGCAUUGAAGUACAGUUGCUGAUAAAUCCCAGCUGCCACUGUCAUCUCUUCGCUUGAUUCUAUGCUAACUGAAGUAAAAAGUAUGAUUGGAACUAGAGUAGAAUUGUUGUAGUUCAUACACAGUGGAUUGACUAGAGCAUAAUUAUAAUACGAAAAACUACAGUUUGAUUAGAGUAGAAAUGUAAUAAGUCAUACACUAUGACCGAAGUGGAAUUGUAAUGUAAGUGGCAAAUAAACUAUGGUCCGACUACAGGAGAAUGGUAAUAAGUCAUAAACUGUGGUUAAAACUUAGAACAUGAUAUUAUGAUUCAACAAUAAUUGAAAACUAGUCGUAAAAAAAUAUAACUAAUUAAUUGAUGUCAAAAUGGGGGGAAAUAAGAUUUAUUGUUACGUCAGGUUAGGAAUGACACGGCAUCAUCUGCAUGAAUAGGCUUAAGCUUGUUUUAUCUAAAAAAAAAAUCUAGUGUAAUUCUUAUGAAUUUUAACUAAUAUGGUUUAUUUAGAGGCAAGUUGCAACUCCACGACUAGAAAUUAAAGGCUUAUAUAAUCACUCCUUUGUGACCAGUGUGUUCAGUAAUUAACUAAUAGAAAGAGUUGUUGAUAUACAGAUUCAAAGCUUCAACCUACUUAAGAUUGAUUAAUUCAAAAUCUGUUACUUUUUUUAACAAGAAAAUGUAAAUUAGCUUUAAAAAAUAACAAUCAUAAUUGAUUAUCAAUUGGUUAUGUGCAAUUUGAUACAUCCGCAAGCUGUGGCAUAAAGAGCAUUUUGAUUUGACACGAAAUAUUCCAGGGAGUAGUGUGUGUAGAAUUGUAACAAGUAAUAAAGAACGGUUUUAACUGGAGUAGACUUGUUAUCAGUAAUAAAGUAUGGUUUGAACUGGAGUAGAAUUGUUAUCAGUAAUAAAGAACGGUUUUAACUGGAGUAGACUUGUUAUCAGUAAUAAAGUAUGGUUUGAACUGGAGUAGAAUUGUUAUCAGUAAUAAAGAACGGUUUUAACUGGAGUAGACUUGUUAUCAGUAAUAAAGUAUGGUUUGAACUGGAGUAGAAUUGUUAUCAGUAAUAAAGAACGGUUUUAACUGGAGUAGACUUGUUAUCAGUAAUAAAGUAUGGUUUGAACUGGAGUAGAAUUGUUAUCAGUAAUAAAGAACGGUUUUAACUGGAGUAGACUUGUUAUCAGUAAUAAAGUAUGGUUUGAACUGGAGUAGAAUUGUUAUCAGUAAUAAAGAACGGUUUUAACUGGAGUAGACUUGUUAUCAGUAAUAAAGUAUGGUUUGAACUGGAGUAGAAUUGUUAUCAGUAAUAAAGAACGGUUUUAACUGGAGUAGACUUGUUAUCAGUAAUAAAGUAUGGUUUGAACUGGAGUAGAAUUGUUAUCAGUAAUAAAGAACGGUUUUAACUGGAGUAGACUUGUUAUCAGUAAUAAAGUAUGGUUUGAACUGGAGUAGAAUUGUUAUCAGUAAUAAAGAACGGUUUUAACUGGAGUAGACUUGUUAUCAGUAAUAAAGUAUGGUUUGAACUGGAGUAGAAUUGUAAUAAAUAAUAAAGUACGGUUUUAACUGGAGUAGAAUUGUUAUCAGUAAUAAAGUAUGGUUUGAACUGGAGUAGAAUUGUUAUAAAUAAUAAAGUACGGUUUGAACUAGAGUAGACUUGUUAUCAGUAAUAAAGUACGGUUUGAACUGGAGUAGAAUUGUAAUAAAGUACGGUUUGAACUGGAGUAGAAUUGAAAUAAAGUACGGUUUUAACUGGAGUAGAAUUGUUUUAAAUAAUAAAGUACUGUUUGAACUGGAGUAGAAUUGUAAUAAAGUACGGUUUGAACUGGAGUAGAAUUGUAAUAAAGUACGAUUUUAACUGGAGUAGAAUUGAAAUAAAGUACGGUUUUAACUAGAGUAGAAUUGUUUUAAGUUACACACAAUGGAUUGACUUCAUGAUAUUUGUAAUAAAUCAUAAAACAUGGUUAGACUAUAGUAGCAUUGUAAUAAGUUGUACUACUAAAUAAGACCUCCAUUUUUGAGAUUUUACAUUUAUAAGGAAAACAAAAUAAGAAGUAUUACCUUAAAAGAAGAAUGUCACUUACACUUGGUAGAUUACAUGAGUGUAACUGCAAAUUUGAAAGAAAGUAUACUGAUGUUAAUGUGUACAUUUUGAGUCAGGUUUAGACUGUAUCCAAUUGAUUUAUCAUUGAUUCUUUUCUUAAUGAAACGUUAGUAAUGAAUGUUUAGAGAGUUACAUUAUUUUAUCUACUCUUUUUAAGACAUCACUCGAAUACUACAUACACAAACGACAGUAUUCUAGACAAUGAGAUGAGCCUAUCUGCACAAUCAGGCAGGUUAAAAUAAAGACAGGAACUUGCAGUGGUGGAACUUCGUUAAAUUCAACUGAAAAGAAUAGUUCUCCUAAAUACAUUCAUGUUUCACUUUAAGUUAAGCAACUGCUCCUUAUCAAAGACCUACAGUACAAUAUGUAUGUAGAUCUUGGCCCCGUUUUAUUAAUCUGGAGUAUUUAAUAUUCCUUUUUUUCUGUUCGACAAACGAGGUUCGACUUAGGUUAACUUUGAAUAUUAUGCAUAUACUUAACCUAAUUUCCUCUAUGAUUAAAAAAAAUGCAUUUCAGAAAUGUUGUUCAAAAGCUUUGCUUGUGAUCAAAAUGCAAUAUUAACGUAAGCAUUUACGUAGCAAUAUAGCAUGUUUUGUAAUAAAAUGUACCUGUAUUUAGGACAUUCCAAAGCUUGGUACAUUGCAUUUAAAUUGUCGGUGCUUUCAAUGAGUGAAAUAAAGAUAUUCUUUUGAAA
rnacentral:lncRNA from 1 species